rnacentral:rRNA from 1 species
GACGAACGCUGGCGGCGUGCUUAACACAUGCAAGUCGAACGAAGUGGCGAACGGGUGAGUAACGCGUAAUCAACCUGCCCUUCAGAGGGGGACAACAGUUGGAAACGACUGCUAAUACCGCAUACUGAAGGAGGGGAUUGCGUCUGCUUAGCUCGUUGGAGGGGUAACGGCCCACCAAGGCGAUGCUCAGUAGCCGGUCGGCGAGGUAGAACGGCCAAAUUGGGACUGAGACACGGCCCAGACCCCGACGCGCGGCAACAGGGGCGAAACUUGCGCAAUAGGCGAAAUUCUGACGGAGCAACGCCGCGAGAGUGAUGACGACCGUCGGGUUGUAAAGAGCUGUUAAUCGGGACGCGGUACCGCAAGAGAAAGCCACGGCUAACUACGUGCCAGCAGCCGCGGUAAUUC